rnacentral:rRNA from 1 species
CCUACGGGGGGCAGCAGUGAGGAAUAUUGGUCAAUGGUCGGGAGACUGAAUCAGCCAAGCCGCGUGAGGGAGGAAGGUACAGAGUAUCGUAAACCUCUUUUGUCAGGGAACAAAGGCGGGGACGUGUCCCCGGAUGAGUGUACCUGAAGAAAAAGCAUCGGCUAACUCCGUGCCAGCAGCCGCGGUAAUACGGAGGAUGCGAGCGUUAAUCGGAUUUAUUGGGUUUAAAGGGUUCGCAGGCGGUCUGUUAAGUCAGCGGUCAAAGCCCCGGGGCCAAACCCGGCCCGGCCGUGCAAACUGGGAGUCUCGAGUUGGAGAGAGGUAUGCGGAAUGCGCGGUGUAGCGGUGAAAUGCAUAGAUAUCGCGCAGAACUCCGAUUGCGAAGGCAGCAUGCCGGCUCCACACUGACGCUGAGGCACGAAAGCGUGGGUAUCGAACAGGAUUAGAUACCCUUGUAGUC